rnacentral:rRNA from 1 species
UACGUAGGUGGCGAGCGUUGUCCGGAUUUACUGGGUGUAAAGGGCGCGUAGGUGGGGGAGCAAGUCAGAUGUGAAAUUCCAGGGCUUAACCGUGGGCGUGCAUUUGAAACUGUUCUUCUUGAGUACUGGAGAGGCAGGCGGAAUUCCCAGUGUAGCGGUGAAAUGCGUAGAUAUUGGGAGGAACACCAGUGGCGAAGGCGGCCUGCUGGACAGCAACUGACACUGAGGCGCGAAAGCGUGGGGAGCAAAC